rnacentral:rRNA from 1 species
UCUCAAGCAUGAGAAGGGCAUUUGGUGGAUGCCUUGGCAUCGAGAGGCGAUGAAGGACGUGGCACUCUGCGAAAAGCUCCGGGGAGGUGAGAGCAACCUUUGAUCCGGAGAUAUCCGAAUGGGGCAACCCGGCGCUUAUUGCGUCAUCCCGCACCGAAUCCAUAGGUGCGGGGAGCAAACCCAGGGAACUGAAACAUCAAAGUACCUGGUGGAAAGGACAUCAAACCGAGACUCCGUCAGUAGUGGCGAGCGAAGGCGGACCAGGCCAGUGGCGUAUGUUUAAGAACCGGAACCGUUUGGAAAGACGGGCCUGAGUGGGUGAUAGCCCCGUACGGGUAGAAAGAACAUGCGUCCUUGAGUAAGGCGGGACACGUGCAAUCCUGUCUGAAGAUGGGGGGACCCCCCUCCAAGCCUAAGUACUCCUCGAUGACCGAUAGUGAACAAGUACCGUGAGGGAAAGGUGAAAAGCACCCCGAGAGGGGAAUGAAAUAGACCUGAAACCGAAUGCCUACAAGCAGUCGGAGGGAGCUUCGGCUCCUGACGGCGUACCUUUUGUAUAAUGGGUCAGCGACUUAAUCUUACGAGCAAGCUUAAACCGGUAGGUGUAGGCGCAGCGAAAGCGAGUCUGAAUAGGGCGUUCAGUUCGUAGGAUUAGACCCGAACCCGAGUGAUCUAGCCAUGAGCAGGUUGAAGGUGGGGUAACACCCACUGGAGGACCGAACCCACGUCUGUUGAAAAAGACGGGGAUGACUUGUGGCUAGGGGUGAAAGGCCAAUCAAACUCGGAAAUAGCUGGUUCUCCGCGAAAUCUAUUUAGGUAGAGCGUCGUGCGAACGCCAUCGGGGGUAGAGCACCGGAUGGGCUAGGGGAUCCUACAGAUCUACCAAACCUAACCGAACUCCGAAUACCGAUGAGCGCUACACGGCAGGCAGCCCCGGGGUGCUAAGGUCCCGGGACGAGAGGGAAAGAUCCCAGACCGCCAGCUAAGGUCCCCAAGUCAUGGCUAAGUGGUAAAGGAUGUGGGAAGGCCAAGACAGCCAGGAGGUUGGCUUAGAAGCAGCCAUCCUUUAAAGAAAGCGUAACAGCUCACUGGUCUAGUUAAGCCGUCCCGCGCCGAAAAUGUAACGGGGCUCAAGCCAUGCACCGAAGCUGCGGAUGUCAUCGCAAGAUGACGUGGUAGCGGAGCGUUCCGUAAGUCUGUGAAGGCGCGUCGCGAGGCGCGCUGGAGAUAUCGGAAGUGCGAAUGCUGACAUGAGUAGCGACAAGGAGAGCGAGAAACUCUCCCGCCGAAAGUCCAAGGGUUCCUCAGCACGGUUAAUCCGCUGAGGGUGAGCCGGUCCCUAAGGCGAGGCCGAGAGGCGUAGUCGAUGGGAACCUGGUUAAUAUUCCAGGGCCAGCCGGGUGUGACGGACCUCGAACGUCGUCAGGGCUUAUCGGAUUGCCCUGGCGGCCUGGAGGUCCCAGGAAAUAACCCCGGCAUAGACCGUACCCCAAACCGACACAGGUGGACUGGUUGAGAAUACCGAGGCGCUUGAGAGAACGAUGUUGAAGGAACUCGGCAAAUUGCCCUCGUAACUUCGGAAGAAGAGGGCCCCCAAGGCGGGCAACCGUUUUGGGGGGGCACAAGCCAGGGGGUGGCGACUGUUUACUAAAAACACAGGGCUCUGCGAAGUCUCGAUGACGACGUAUAGGGUCUGACGCCUGCCCGGUGCCGGAAGGUUAAGAGGAGAGGUGCAAGCCUUGAAUCGAAGCCCCGGUAAACGGCGGCCGUAACUAUAACGGUCCUAAGGUAGCGAAAUUCCUUGUCGGGUAAGUUCCGACCUGCACGAAUGGCGUAACGACUUCCCCACUGUCUCCAACAUCGGCUCAGCGAAAUUGAAUUCUCCGUGAAGAUGCGGAGUUCCCGCGGUUAGACGGAAAGACCCCGUGCACCUUUACUACAGCUUUGCAGUGGUAUUAGGGGACUGAUGUGUAGAAUAGGUGGGAGGCGAUGAAGUUCGGGCGCUAGCUCGGACGGAGCCGCAAUGUGAAAUACCACCCUUUGGUUCUCUGAUAUCUAACCGAGAUCGGUUUAUCCCGGUCCGGGACCCUGCAUGGCGGGUAGUUUGACUGGGGCGGUCGCCUCCCAAAGAGUAACGGAGGCGCGCGAUGGUGGGCUCAAGCUGGUCGGAAAUCAGCUGUUGAGUGCAAUGGCAUAAGCCCGCCUGACUGCGAGACUGACACGUCGAGCAGAGACGAAAGUCGGCCAUAGUGAUCCGGUGGUUCUGCGUGGAAGGGCCAUCGCUCAACGGAUAAAAGGUACGCCGGGGAUAACAGGCUGAUGAUUCCCAAGAGUCCAUAUCGACGGAAUCGUUUGGCACCUCGAUGUCGGCUCAUCACAUCCUGGGGCUGGAGCAGGUCCCAAGGGUUUGGCUGUUCGCCAAUUAAAGUGGUACGUGAGCUGGGUUUAGAACGUCGCGAGACAGUUCGGUCCCUAUCUGCCGUGGGUGUCGGAAACUUGAGAGGAGCUGUCCCUAGUACGAGAGGACCGGGAUGGACGUACCUCUGGUGGACCUGUUGUCGCGCCAGCGGCAGUGCAGGGUAGCUAUGUACGGACGGGAUAACCGCUGAACGCAUCUAAGCGGGAAGCCCCCCUCGAAACCAGGUUUCCCCGAAGAGCCGUGGUAGACCACCACGUUGAUAGGCCGGAUGUGUAAGCGCGGCAACGCGUUGAGCUAACCGGUCCUAAUCGCUCGUUUGGCUUGAGAG